AGAUAACUCCGAGUCCUCACGGUGAGAAUAGGAGUAACGGCUGUGUGGCACAGCCAUCGGUACACCUGUUCGACCGCGAGAGCGGGACGUUCCGCACGAGAGAACAGGUCGUGUCGUAGACCAGCAAAUAUCCCACCUGGGGUACGGGAAGCCUCACCGUUUACGGCGAGGA
rnacentral:ncRNA from 1 species